rnacentral:rRNA from 1 species
UUCCCUGCAAGACGGGGGAAGUCACGACCACUUCUGAGUUUGGCC